UAAAAAAAAUAAACAAGCAGGAACGAACAUGGCCCCGGCUGCUCGGGUGGCGUGGGCAUUGUGGCCUAGCGGGUGCGCCUUGGCCAGGAGGCUGGGCAGCCGCCCCCAGCUGCUGCUCCCCAUACAGAACUGGGCUGGCUUCCACGGGGCAGCGGGCGGCCAGGGCUCCGUGGCCACCGCCUGUAAGGGGAGCCCGAGGGCUGUACCACACUGCGUGGUGGCACUUGCGUGCCCAGGACCUCCAUGCCGAGCACUUAGCCAAGUAGCUCUCCCUGUCCAGCCACCUGCAACUGACCCUGUACCAGUACAAGACGUGUCCCUGCUGCAGCAAGGUUCGAGCCUUCCUCGACUUCCACACCCUGCCCUACCAGGUGGUGGAGGGUCAACCCUGUGGGCAGGGCUGAGAUCAAGUUCUCCUCCUACAGAAAGGUGGCCAUCCUGGUGGCCCAAGUGGGAGAAAACUCGCAACAACUGAACGACUCCUCUGUCAUCAUCAGUGCCCUCAAGACGUACCUGGUGUCAGGGCAGCCCCUGGAAGAGAUCAUCACCUACCACCCAGCCAUGAAGACUGUGAAUGACCAGGGCAAGGAGGUGACCAAGUUCAGCAAUAAGUACUGGCUCGUGCUGGACGAGAAGAGGGCCAGGACGGAGGAGAUGAAGUGGCGGCAGUGGGUGGACGACUGGCUGGUGCACCUGAUCUCCCCCAACGUGUACCACACGCCCACUGAGGCUCUGGCAUCCUUUGACUACACUGUCCUCGAGGGCAAGUUUGGAGCCGUGGAGGGCACCAUGGCCAAGUACAUGGGUGCGGUGGCCAUGUAGCUCAUCAGCAAGCGAUUCAAGAGCAGGUACCACCCUCCAGGAUGAUGUGCAUGAGGACCUUUAUGAGGCUGCCAACAAGUUGGUGGCUGCUGUGGGCAAGGACCAGCCCUUCAUGGUGGGCCAGAGGCCGGUGGUAUAUGGCGUGCUUCAAGUGAUGGAGGGGCUGGAUGCCUUUGAUGACCUGAUGCAGCACACGUGCAUCCAGCCCUGGUACUUGUAUGUGGAGAGGGCCAUCACCGAGGCCUCCCCAGCGCACUGAGUGUCUCCACGAGCAGCAGGGGGAAGGCAGUGGAAGACGCCAGCUGCCAGGAUCUGGGGCCACUGGGCCAGUGCCUGGCAAUGCUGAUGGGGGCAGGAUCACUCUGGCUCUUGUCCAUCUACCCCCCCCAGCCCUCUUGCUUCCAAUACAGGGCACCUGCUAGGGUCCAGGGAUGUUGGGGACGAGUUCCAGCCCUGCUCCUGCCUUGGGCCAGACCGUCCCUGUCCUGGCCUCACUGCCCUGCCGCCAUUCUCCCAGGCCCUCAAUGGCUGUCCCAUGGCUACAUCCUGUGGUUGGGGGCCCUGGCAGGACAGCAGGACGGUUCAUUUUUGGUGGAAUCCCAUCGCUGGGUUCCCCUGGUUCCGACUCUUCCCAAGCCUCCUGGGACUGGGACACGUUUGCAAUAAAGGAAAGGUUUGUGGCCCCCGUCACGGCGGGCAUCGCUUGGAAAAUAAAAAAAAUAAA